rnacentral:rRNA from 1 species
UACAGAGGUCCCAAGCGUUGUUCGGAAUCAUUGGGCGUAAAGCGGAUGUAGGUGGCUUUGUAAGUCAGGUGUGAAAGCCCCGGGCUCAACCCGGGAAGUGCAUUUGAUACUGCGAAGCUUGAAUGUUGGAGAGGCUACUAGAAUACCUGGUGUAGUGGUGAAAUACGUAGAUAUCAGGUGGAAUACCGGAGGCGAAGGCGGGUAGCCAGCCAAACAUUGACACUCAGAUCCGAAAGUGUGGGGAUCAAACAGG